rnacentral:lncRNA from 1 species
UUUCCAUUCUUCUUUUAUUUCUUAUGGACAUUUUUUUAGAGUUAAAUGGCAGCUUACAUUGGGUUUGUUGCUUCUAGGAGAGUUGAUGUGGAUGCUGGGCAAGAGGAAACUGCUAUUGAGGCACUCUUGGAAGAGCUGGCUCGUGAAAUACAUGCAACUGUUGGUGUGAGAAUGCAUAAAUUAGGUGUUUGUGAGUGGGAAGUGAAGCUUUGGAUGGCAUCUUCUGGACAGGCAAAUGGUGCCUGGAGGGUGGUUGUAACAAAUGUAACUGGUCACACCUGUGCAGUGCAUGUAAGUGUGCUUAAAUAAAGAUCUUCAACCUAAACUCUUUUCCGGUUAGAACUAUUUAGGUCUUGCUGACUAUCAUUCAGUAUCCUAUCAGUAAGCCUCAUGUUUUGCAAUAUAAAGUUAUUUUUGGUUUCUAUUUAAGUAGAGAAUACUUUCCAUGCCUCAGUUUGCAUAUUUGAGACUUUUAUACUAUUCUGCCAGAGAUCUCCGACACAAAUUAAUUCCGAUCCCUAUUACUUUUCUCCAGUAGUAUCAUUGGACCACGGCUCUCACUUUUUGCCAUAUAGGUGUUUCAUAGACAUACAGGACCAUGCUUUCCAAUAUGGUCCUAAUCCUCUCCUGGAGAACAUUUUACUCAAAUUAACAUCCUUUGCUUAGUUCUUAUGAAUGAAUAAAAUGCAUGCAGGAGAAAUCUGAUAUAUAUAGGUUGGAGAAAAUUGCAAAAUGAGCAUACUCUCCUUCAUUAAAAAAUAGCUCCUGAGAUGGCAUGACUAGUUAGGACUUCUAGUUACUAAGCCUACAUGAUGCGUAAUAUUUACUUUAUUGGAAGCUAUCCUUAUUAGUUGAAAAAAGUUGAUUAAUGUGUUGGAAAUUAUAUUUACUACUGUUUAACAUAACAUCCAGAUAUAUCGAGAGCUAGAAGAUACCAGUAAACACACUGUAGUCUAUCAUUCAGCUGCUGUGCGGGGUCCGC